GACGAACGCUGGCGGCGUGCUUAACACAUGCAAGUCGAGCGGUAAGGCUCCUUCGGGAGUACACGAGCGGCGAACGGGUGAGUAACACGUGAGCAAUCUGCCCUUCACUUCGGGAUAACUCCGGGAAACCGGUGCUAAUACCGAAUACGACCACUUCGGGCAUCUGAUGGUGGUGGAAAGUUCCGGCGGUGAAGGAUGAGCUCGCGGCCUAUCAGCUUGUUGGUGGGGUAACGGCCCACCAAGGCAACGACGGGUAGCCGGCCUGAGAGGGUGACCGGCCACACUGGGACUGAGACACGGCCCAGACUCCUACGGGAGGCAGCAGUGGGGAAUAUUGGACAAUGGGCGAAAGCCUGAUCCAGCAACGCCGCGUGAGGGAUGACUGCCUUCGGGUUGUAGACCGCUUUCAGCAGGGACGAAGCGCAAGUGACGGUACCUGCAGAAGAAGCACCGGCCAACUACGUGCCAGCAGCCGCAGUAAUAC
rnacentral:rRNA from 1 species